CCCUCUCGCUCUCUCUGCCUCUCUUAGUUGCAAAAAAAUGCUCUGCAGCUGGGCUGCACCUCAAUGAACCUAAUUGGUGCACUGUGAGCGACCAUCAUCUAUCCACUGGAUUUCCAUCGCGCCCGGCUUCCAUCCAGAACAUAUGAAUUUGCUCAGACAGACCCUUUUAAGGAGUUGAACAGAUAGGUCGGAGAAAAUGGCACAACGCGCGGUUUUGUUGCUACUGUGGCUCUUUGACAGAUCAUACGCAGGCUUUCCAAAUCAGAUUAGUAUCGGGGGACUGUUCAUGCGUUCCACGGUGCAGGAGCACAGCGCGUUCAGGUUUGCUGCCCAACUCUACAACACCAACCAAAACACCACUGAAAAGCCUUUCCACCUCCUCUACAAUGUAGACAACCUCGAGUCGUCCAACAGCUUUGCAGUCACCCAUGCGUUUUGCUCCCAGUUCUCCCGCGGAGUGUACGCCAUCUUCGGAUUCUACGACAAGAAGUCCAUGAACACCCUGACCUCCUUCUGCGGCGCCCUGCACACCUCCUUCGUCACACCCAGUUACCCCACCGAUAAUGAGGUGCAGUUUGUCAUCCAGAUGCGCCCUCCCCUCCGCGGCGCCGUCCUCAGCCUGCUCUCUCACUACAAGUGGCAGAAGUUCGUCUACCUCUACGACACCGACCGAGGUUUCUCUAUUCUGCAGGCCAUCAUGGAGGCAGCAGUAGCUAACAACUGGCAGGUGACCGCUCGCUCCGUUAGCGGCACAACCGACGCAUCAGAGUUCAAGCGCAUCAUUGAGGAGAUGGACAGGAGGCAGGAGAAGCGCUUUGUGAUUGACUGCGAGGUGGACAGGAUCAACACCAUACUGGAACAGGUUGUGACCCUGGGGAAGAACAGCCGUGGUUACCACUACAUUCUGGCCAAUCUUGGAUUUACUAAUGUGAGCUUGGACAAAGUCUUCGCUGGUGGAGCCAACAUUUCUGGGUUUCAGAUCGUCAACCCUGAGAACCCGAUAGUGCAGCAGUUUAUGCAGCGCUGGGAGCGGCUAGAUGAAAGAGAAUUCCCAGAAGCCCGAAACACUCCUCUGAAGUACACUUCAGCUCUGACCCAUGAUGCAAUCCUGGUGAUAGCAGAGGCCUUCAGGUACCUGCGGCGCCAACGUGUGGAUGUGUCUCGCCGGGGCAGCGCUGGAGACUGCCUAGCCAAUCCUGCCGUACCUUGGAGCCAAGGCAUCGACAUCGAGAGAGCUCUCAAAACGGUUCAAGUGAAUGGUAUGACUGGGAAGAUCCAGUUUGACAACUACGGCCGCAGGACCAACUUCACCAUAGACGUUUAUGAGAUGAAAACAGGUGGGCCGAGGAAGAUUGGGUACUGGAACGAGUACGCACGAUUUGUAAAUAUUAUGGACGCGCAGGUCACCAACGACUCAGUGGAAAACCGAACGAUUGUGGUCACUACUAUUAUGGAAGCUCCUUAUGUGAUGUACAAGAAAAAUUAUAUGCAUCUGGAUGGGAAUGACAGAUAUGAAGGCUACUGCGUCGAUUUAGCAUCAGAGAUUGCCAAACAUGUUGGAAUUAAGUACAAACUGUCUAUAGUAAUGGAUGGGAAGUAUGGAGCCCGAGACCCCGAGACCAAGACGUGGAACGGGAUGGUUGGCGAACUGGUCUAUGGGAGAGCAGAUAUAGCUGUUGCACCUCUCACCAUUACUCUGGUUCGAGAGGAGGUGAUAGACUUUUCCAAGCCCUUUAUGAGCUUGGGGAUCUCCAUUAUGAUAAAGAAGCCCCAAAAGUCCAAGCCUGGCGUGUUCUCCUUCCUGGACCCGCUGGCCUAUGAGAUCUGGAUGUGUAUAGUGUUUGCCUAUAUUGGGGUGAGCGUGGUCCUGUUCCUGGUCAGUCGGUUCAGUCCUUAUGAGUGGAACCUCGAUGAACAGGACGAGACCAAAGACCCCCAGACGCCCCCAGAUCCGCCAAAUGACUUUGGUAUCUUCAACUCCCUCUGGUUCUCUCUGGGCGCCUUCAUGCAGCAGGGCUGUGACAUCUCCCCCAGAUCUCUGUCAGGCCGCAUCGUCGGUGGUGUGUGGUGGUUCUUCACCCUCAUCAUCAUCUCCUCCUACACAGCCAACCUGGCUGCCUUCUUGACAGUGGAGAGGAUGGUCUCUCCUAUAGAAAGUGCCGAAGAUUUAGCUAAGCAGACAGAGAUAGCGUAUGGCACUCUGGACUCAGGCUCCACAAAAGAGUUUUUUAGGCGAUCCAAAAUAGCAGUGUAUGAGAAGAUGUGGUCAUACAUGAAAUCCGCUGAACCCUCAGUGUUUGUUAAGACCACACCCGAUGGCGUAGCCCGGGUACGAAAGUCAAAAGGCAAGUUCGCCUUCCUCCUCGAGUCCACCAUGAAUGAGUACAUUGAGCAGCGGAAGCCCUGUGACACCAUGAAAGUGGGUGGCAACCUCGACUCGAAAGGAUACGGUGUGGCGACGCCCAAAGGCUCAGCAUUAGGAAAUGCUGUUAACCUGGCAGUUUUAAAACUGAAUGAGCAAGGCCUCUUGGACAAAUUGAAAAACAAAUGGUGGUACGACAAGGGAGAGUGCGGCAGCGGGGGAGGUGACUCCAAGAACUCCUGUAAACCUUGCAGUAUUGAAACUCAGUGAACAAGGCAUCUUAGACAAGCUGAAAAACAAAUGGUGGUACGAUAAGGGUGAAUGUGGAACCAAGGACUCUGGAAGUAAGGUCAGUCGCUGCAGGUCUUUUGUACUGAUUCCAAAUUGCAUUUUGACGUACUGUUCAUAUGCAAGACAAGACUUCUCUGACAUCUAUAGUGUACAUUUUGUUUAUUUGCUACACAUACUUUUUUCUUUUUUUAUAUAGCUCAGUUUUUCUGCCACAAACUGUAACACAGUUCACAUGUGGCUUUAACACAAGGCACUGUUUUCCCAAAUCCAUAUUUUCUCUUGUUUUGCCAUAGAAAUGAGACAUUCUUUGAUGCAAUAUAAAACAUAGAAACUCUUUUUAGUGGAAACUGUAAUGAUAAUAAUGUGGGGAAAGUGCCUUUCAGAAACACUAUUUAAAUUGAAUCACAGCAGUUAAUCGUUGUUGAUAAAUGCUAUUUUUGCUCAUUUUCACUCUUAACAUUCAUGAUAUUUGACCAUUAUGCUGCUGUUCCUAUUUACCAAACUGUUAAUGAAAAUUUGAUUUAUUUGUGUUGUUACUAGUUUGCAUCGAGAUGUGUCUAUUAGAUUCUUUGGCCUCCUGUGGUGUGAUGAACAAGCAAAGCCUCUUAUUGUGAUGACUUACUGAAAUUCAACUUCUCUCAGCGGCGAGAGCGCCGUAGGGUGUCCUCUAAUUCUUGUGGCUGCCUGGAGUUGAAGUUAGAGGCUGUUUGCACAUUAUAAGAGGUUUCGGGAAUGUAAUAAACCCACUAUUUAACCCUCUGAGAUACAGUCAAAGCCUCAGAUUACAGGUCAGGGAUUCCAGUAGCUUUACGAUACCUUCACACUCAUAGGGUUAAACUGCAAAUAGUAAAACUCUGAUGAUCAAAUUUUUAAUGAAUAUGUUUGGUAGGUAAGCAGCAGCAAAAUGGUUUGAUCUUUAGUGUUUUUAAAACUUUAAUUGAGCUAUCAUUCAUCUAUUAUGAAUUUGACUGUACUGUAUGACAAUGUUGCCAUGAGAGUUAUACGUACAUGUCGCCAAGAGAAUUUAAAAAAAAGAUAGGGAUUUUCAGAGCCGUCGACCUAUGCGAUACUGACCAGCUUCCUUACAUGGUCAAGAGCAGAAGCCACUUUACUUUCAUGCAGUGUAGGGAAGGCAAAGCUCUACAUUCACCAGCAGUUGGCUUCUUUCUCCUCAGUGGAGAAUGGUUUGACUAUGGCAGUCGGAAGUUUCUCUGCAACUUUGUGACAGUCAUAGGAGAAUCAGUUCAGUCAAAGAUUCUAGCCUUAGCACCUCAUUACAUCUUCAAUUUUUUGGUUGCUUGUAGCUGUUAGUGUCCAUAAUCUGCCAUACUAUAUAUAUGUAGCCCCAGUAAGAUAGAGUAUGAUGAUGUUGUACCAGAGCAGUUUAAGCCAAGGCUAUGUGAGGAUAAGUUUGAAAGAUAUAGGCUGUAUUUUUUCUGCUGCCCAUGCUCCACUGCAAAACUCUUAACUGUGUUAUUCACUUUCCUCCAGGACAAGACAAGUGCUCUCAGCCUAAGCAAUGUGGCUGGUGUCUUCUAUAUUCUGGUUGGAGGGCUGGGGCUGGCCAUGAUGGUGGCUCUGAUAGAGUUCUGUUAUAAAUCACGGCAAGAAACCAAACGGCUGAAAUUGGCCAAGAAUGCCCAGAAUUUUAAGCCGGCUCCCCCGACCAACACCCAGAACUUUGCCACAUACAGAGAAGGCUACAACGUAUACGGAACCGAGAGCGUUAAGAUCUAGAGGUUUAGGAAACAUUUCCAUUGUCCCUUACAACUGUGACUGAACAUCUAAGAAAGGACAGGAACACGGGGAUUGAGCUCCAAGCCAAAUCCUCGGGGCGUACACGGCACGAUAAUCUGCAAUGACGACACGACUGGACUGGUCACGGGAAGAGCCGAAACGGUUCCCUCCUCUCAGUGCCUUAUGGAACUCUGAGUCCAAUCAAUGCAACUCAUUCGCAAUGAUAUUGCUUUUUGCUUGAAACUCAUACAAAACAGAAGAAUGGUGCAGUGAUCGAAAUAUAUAGAUAGAUAUAUAUAUAUAAUACAUUUGACAUGUUACAAUGAAUGAGAGAACUAAAGCCAUCCUUUGCAACCCUAAGCACACUUUGAAGUGCCAGAAAGACGACUAAUCUUAUAUGACAAGUGUCUAAUUGGUUUCUUGUAAUCAAUAUGAUCAGAUUACUCUUCAUCCUUCUGCUGCCAGAUUUUCACUGGUUAUAUGUGUUAAAAUAUUUAAUUUUAUUAGAUCUAUUCAGUGCACUGUACGACACUGGUUAUAAGACAAUAGCUUUUAUACUGCUGUAAGUCACUGAUCGUGACCUUGUACUUAUUUUAAAAGACAGAUUGAUCUGCUGGAGCGAAAUGCCAUUCAGCGCAAAACAAUUCCUGAGUGUGUUGUUUGUACUCUCAACUCUGGUGCUGCUGCCACUGUCUUCUGAACGUUUCAUGGGACUCAUGAAGAAGAGACAAUGAUCUGGUUUGGCUUUUACGCACUACAGAACCAGGUCAUAAUUCGCACUUCCAAUACUGCCAAGAGUGUGUUUUGUAUGACAGAGUGUGUAAAGCAAAGGAAAAAAUAAAUAAAAUCUGAUCUACAGUUUGUAAAGUAUCAAAGUAGCGCUGACUCACUAAUGUUCGCAGCUCCACACAGUCUUUCCCUGAAGUCUAGAAUCCUUCAAGUCUCUUGUACAUGAAAGUAAAACCAAACAGAAAGGGUAAUUCAAUUGUAGAUUAACUGCAAUCCAAUUAAAGGAUAACAGUAAUGGCUUUUAAACUGUAGUGUGUUUGGAUUACCUGACCAUUUUCUUUAACAAUUGCACAUUUUACAACAAGCUGUGGUUUGCUUUUAAUUUGAUUUCCUUUAAUGAACAUUACAGUGUUUGGUGAUUUCACUUAAUAAAUGAAAAAUAUAUGAAUACAAUGGAAAAUAGAUUUGUACAAGGUUAAACCAGGGAGAGCCCUGAAGCUUAGCACAUUUCCAUAUUGCUGUGAUCAUUUCCCUUCUUUCAAAAAGACUGUGAUUCCAUAGGAUUUAGGAAGAUAGCUAUCUAAUCAACUAUUGGCAGAUCAUUUUAUAUUUCAAGAAAAAAGUGAAGAAACCGAUAAUGUGAAUAAAAAAAUAAGGAACGAUUUGAGAAAGAUGUGUACAUUUAGAUAAAUGAGAACUAUUUAUACAACACGAUUGAAGAUUGGAUUCACUGUUUUUCUUUUUUUUUCUACGAAAUUGCAUGUGUGAAUUCAGUGAUGCUUGACGAGCUCUGCUACUCACAACCCGACCUUAGGUUAACGUUAGAUAUCCAGCCCUGGUUAUUCUUUUGCAAAUCAGUUAAAUCCUUUAUUUUUAUUUCAUUCACGCCUCACCUUCUGCAACGAAAAAAGAAAAAAAACUCAAAUCACCAGGCAUAGUAGUGGGUACAAAAGAGCAAGCGAUGCAUGCAUAAUUUGCUGAACCUCAUUAGUGAGGCGCUGUACAGAGAAUUUUAAUACAUUUUGUAAAUAAAAUGUACAGAAGUG